rnacentral:lncRNA from 1 species
CUGUCUCUGUGCGGUGUGCUGGGGAAUGCAUGGGGUUUAAAGUCAGGUAGAUUUGGGCCUGCCACUUUACAUCUGUAGCUGAUGUUUAAAGGAGAUGAUAAAAAUGCUGCAACCCAGAUAAUGAUCACCUUACUCUUCAAAAAUACUGCCCAAGGAAGGGAAGAUACACACAGAGGAGAAGGUGGUGUGAAGAUGGAAGCCAAGACUGUUGAUACCAGUUGGAGAGCACCAAGAACUACCCGCAGCCACUGAAAGCUAGGAGAGAGGCAUAGGACUGUCUCCUUCAGACCCUCCAGAAAGACCAAACCUGCCCGUGCCUUGAUUUCAGACUUUUGGCCUCCCACAUUGUGAGAGAAUAAAAUUUUGUUUUUGAAGCCAUC